ensembl:lncRNA
GCGCCAGCGCCGGCGGGACCCGAGCUGCUAAUGAACUGAAACCUGCCUCCCCUUGUCACUGUGGGCUGUGUCCUCUUGGAUCGUGCCUCUCAAACCGUAAAGCACUUAGGAAUCUUCUGAUUCUGACUGGAGCCUGAAUAAAGUGUAGAUUCUGACUCUGGAGGCCCUGGAGGCUGCAUUUCUGAAGAGGGCUCAGGUGUUGCCGAUGCCUCUGGUCUGCAAAGCCCACGUGGAGUGACCAAGGCUCCUGGGCGCCAGACAGGAUCUGAGUGUGAAAGCAGCAUGUCCACCCUUUGGUUUCUCUUUACCAAGAUAAGAGUCCUACAUUCCAUUACAUUCAUAGUGAAGAAGUCAUAUACGUUCAUUGGAUGUCAAUUCUGGGUGCAAUCUUCUCCAGAAGGAAUCUUGUCUGUAAUUUGAUUUAUUUUACAAAAGAGGAAAUGAAGGCCCAUGAAGGCCCAGAGAGUUGCCUGAGGUCGUGAAGCUGGUGGAGCUGAGAAUAGCUAGAGUUAGGGUUUGCUGACCUGGGGUCCUCUUCUGUUAAACGGAGCCAGCUCCGGACAUUGGAAGCAGGAGCAGCAGAAGACGGUGUGAUUGACUGUGGUCCCUCAGCUGCUGUGUGAGGCAGGACACACCGGGGUGGCCCUCUCCUGCCAGGGAAAGGGGGAUGGAGUCAGACAGGUGGGUGAGAGGAAGGAGGCGUCCAUCGGAAGAGGGCGGGAUGCCCAUGGGGAGCGGCACAGGGAAGAUGCAAGGCUACUGGAGACUCCUGCUGAACGGGGAGAGUAAAGGAAGCUUCAGGGAAGAAAGGAGCAGUUGGAUCCUUCCCAUGAAUCAGAGGGAAUGGGCAACCACCCCUUCCAUCUCCACAGUGCUCGGCCCUUCUCCCUGUCUACCGCUGGCCCUGUGCACAGAGUGCCCUGUUGAGUUACAUGUUUUCACGCCUGCAAACAAUAAGCAUCUUGAGGGCCGCGUUUCACCCACUGUUUCCCAAGCACCUAACCCAGGGCCUGGCAUUCAGUAGGCACUUAAUACAUAUUUGUUGAGUGUAUGAGUGCCUGAAUAAAUCACUAGAAGUAGGCAGUCAAAAUCCAGGACUGUACAGCCUAAUUAAGAAAAUCUGAUUACUGUAGACAUAGCAAAUAUCUUAAUGGGAAAAUGUGGUAAUUAGACCUGGGAUAACCAAGACUUGGGUUUUGGAUGUGCGUGGUGAGGGAAGCGCAGGACUCAAGGGCAAGGCCUAGGUUUGUGCACUGGAGAAGGAGGGGAAUGUGGGAGGAGUAAUCAGAUUUCCUAGGAAAACCCAGUGGUUCUGUUUUGGACGUUAAGUUUGAGAUGAAUAUUAGCUAGUUCAGGGAAGAUUCUAAGUAACAGUUUGAUACGGUUGGUCUCCCUGGACCCAGAGAAGCUGCGGGAGGUGGUGGGGGUGGCCUGAAUCCCUCCCCACCGCUGGAGCUGAGAGGAUGCUGCGCAGGCUACUAAGGGGUAGAAGCAGAGUGGCUUCCUCCUGCAGUCCCUGGGGAGGGCGGGCGGCUUCCACGAGGACUCACAGCAAUCAGUUCGCUGCUGCUUGAGGGAACUCAACAGCCUUCCAGGGCCCACAGAAUAAGCGUGGGGCAUCUAAGGAAAAUAAAACACACCUACGGGGACCUUCAGCAGGAGAGAGGAGAGCAGCUGGAAUGCCAGAAUAGGUGGCUGUACUCGAGGACACGGGUAACAAACUGUAACUCUAGUGAUUAUGAAAUUAGAGCACGAGGGAGGUUAGACCACGGCACACCGAAGACUUUCUGGAAGACAAAGUCCUGUUUUCCGAGUUGAAAAUUCAGUAGCUAUGUUAACGGAGACGGCAAGUACAGAGAAGUAAAUCAGUGCCUUAGAAGAUCACGUGGAAGACAAAUUUCAAAUAUGCAGCAGAAGUGAAGAGUUGGAAAUUAGGAGGAGAAAUAAGAUAUUUGGAGGACAGAUUCUGGAGGUUUCAUAUGUAAAUAGUAGGCGUUCCAGAACGAGAAAAGUGAACAGAUGGAGGAGCAAUAAAUAAAGAAAUAAUACAGGAAAAUC